rnacentral:rRNA from 1 species
CUACGGGCCGCAGCAGUGGGGAAUAUUGCACAAUGGAGGAAACUCUGAUGCAGCAACGCCGCGUGGAGGAUGACACUUUUCGGAGCGUAAACUCCUUUUAUAUAGGAAGAAGAUGACGGUACUAUAUGAAUAAGCGCCGGCUAACUCCGUGCCAGCAGCCGCGGUAAUACGGAGGGCGCAAGCGUUACUCGGAAUCACUGGGCGUAAAGAGCGUGUAGGCGGAUUAAAAAGUCAGAAGUGAAAUCCUAUAGCUUAACCAUAGAACUGCUUCUGAAACUCUUAAUCUAGAAUAUGGGAGAGGUAGACGGAAUUUCUGGUGUAGGGGUAAUAUCCGUAGAGAUCAGAAGGAAUACCGAUUGCGAAGGCGAUCUACUAGAACAUUAUUGACGCUGAGACGCGAAAGCGUGGGGAGCAAACAGGAUUAGAUACCCCAGUAGUC